rnacentral:rRNA from 1 species
CCGAACCAGGGCACGUUGAAAAGUGCUUGGAUGACUUGUGGGUAGCGGAGAAAUUCCAAACGAACUUGGAGAUAGCUGGUUCUCUCCGAAAUAGCUUUAGGGCUAGCGUCGAUGUUAAGUCUCUUGGAGGUAGAGCACUGUUUGAUUGAGGGGUCCAUCCCGGAUUACCAAUAUCAGAUAAACUCCGAAUGCCAAUGAGAUAUAAUCGGCAGUCAGACUGCGAGUGCUAAGAUCCGUAGUCGAAAGGGAAACAGCCCAGACCACCAGCUAAGGUCCCAAAAUAUAUGUUAAGUGGAAAAGGAUGUGGGGUUGCACAGACAACUAGGAUGUUAGCUUAGAAGCAGCUAUUCAUUCAAAGAGUGCGUAAUAGCUCACUAGUCGAGUGACCCUGCGCCGAAAAUGUACCGGGGCUAAAACAUAUUACCGAAGCUGUGGAUACCUAUUAUAGGUAUGGUAGGAGAGCGUUCUAUGUGUGAAGAAGGUGUACCGUGAGGAGCGCUGGAACGCAUAGAAGUGAGAAUGCCGGUAUGAGUAGCGAAAGACAGGUGAGAAUCCUGUCCACCGUAAGACUAAGGUUUCCAGGGGAAGGCUCGUCCGCCCUGGGUUAGUCGGGACCUAAGGAGAGACCGAAAGGUGUAUCCGAUGGCCAACAGGUUGAUAUUCCUGUACUAGAGUAUAUAGUGAAGGAGGGACGCAGUAGGCUAACUAAAGCGUGCGAUUGGAAGAGCACGUCUAAGCAGUGAGGUGUGAUAUGAGUCAAAUGCUUGUAUCUCUAACAUUGAGCUGUGAUGGGGAGCGAAGUUAAGUAGCGAAGUUAGUGAUGUCACACUGCCAAGAAAAGCUUCUAGCGUUAAUUAUACUCUACCCGUACCGCAAACCGACACAGGUAGUCGAGGCGAGUAGCCUCAGGUGAGCGAGAGAACUCUCGUUAAGGAACUCGGCAAAAUGGCCCCGUAACUUCGGGAGAAGGGGCGCUGGCUUUAAGUCAGCCGCAGUGAAUAGGCCCAAGCAACUGUUUAUCAAAAACACAGCUCUCUGCUAAAUCGUAAGAUGAUGUAUAGGGGGUGACGCCUGCCCGGUGCUGGAAGGUUAAGAGGAGCGCUUAGCGUAAGCGAAGGUGUGAAUUGAAGCCCCAGUAAACGGCGGCCGUAACUAUAACGGUCCUAAGGUAGCGAAAUUCCUUGUCGGGUAAGUUCCGACCCGCACGAAAGGCGUAAUGAUUUGGGCACUGUCUCAACGAGAGACUCGGUGAAAUUUUAGUACCUGUGAAGAUGCAGGUUACCCGCGACAGGACGGAAAGACCCCAUGGAGCUUUACUGCAGUUUGAUAUUGAGUAUCUGUACCACAUGUACAGGAUAGGUAGGAGCCUAUGAAAUCGGGACGCUAGUUUCGGUGGAGGCGUUGUUGGGAUACUACCCUUGUGUUAUGGCUACUCUAACCUAGAUAGGUGAUCCCUAUCGGAGACAGUGUCUGACGGGCAGUUUGACUGGGGCGGUCGCCUCCUAAAAGGUAACGGAGGCGCCCAAAGGUUCCCUCAGAAUGGUUGGAAAUCAUUCGCAGAGUGUAAAGGUAUAAGGGAGCUUGACUGCGAGAGCUACAACUCGAGCAGGGACGAAAGUCGGGCUUAGUGAUCCGGUGGUUCCGCAUGGAAGGGCCAUCGCUCAACGGAUAAAAGCUACCCUGGGGAUAACAGGCUUAUCUCCCCCAAGAGUUCACAUCGACGGGGAGGUUUGGCACCUCGAUGUCGGCUCGUCGCAUCCUGGGGCUGUAGUCGGUCCCAAGGGUUGGGCUGUUCGCCCAUUAAAGCGGCACGCGAGCUGGGUUCAGAACGUCGUGAGACAGUUCGGUCCCUAUCCGUCGCGGGCGUAGGAAAUUUGAGAGGAUCUGCUCCUAGUACGAGAGGACCAGAGUGGACUUACCGCUGGUGUACCAGUUGUCUUGCCAAAGGCAUCGCUGGGUAGCUAUGUAGGGAAGGGAUAAACGCUGAAAGCAUCUAAGUGUGAAGCCCACCUCAAGAUGAGAUUUCCCAUGAUUUAAUAUCAGUAAGAGCCCUGAGAGAUGAUCAGGUAGAUAGGUUAGGAGUGGAAGUGUGGUGACACAUGUAGCGGACUAAUACUAAUAGCUCGAGGACUUAUCCAA